rnacentral:lncRNA from 1 species
GGCAUGUGAAUCAAAUUGAUGCAGUGUUGCUGAGCUAUCCAGACAUCUAUCAUCUUGGUGCAUUACCUUAUCUUGUUGGCAAAGCUGGUCUAAACUGUCCAGUUUAUUGCACCAUUCCUGUGUACAAGAUGGGGCAGAUGUUUAUGUAUGAUUUUUACCAGGUAAUAUACCUGCUUACUACACUUUGAUACAAGUUUUGCAUGAGUGUGAUUACAGAAAGUUUGAUACAAAUCACAUUGGCCAAUUGCUUGCUUAUCCCAUUGAAGUGUGCAAGACUUCCCUUGGCAAGUGAAACCAUCUGGCGUUAGACAGACUGAGUAAAUUAAAGUCAGGUGUAUUUGGGCGCAUUGCAGCUCAAUGGGUAAAUUAUUAUCAUUUCAGUCUCGUCACAAUUACGAGGAUUUUGAGUUGUUUUCUCUGGAUGAUGUUGAUGCUGCAUUUGAUAAAAUUAUCCAGCUCAAGUACUCCCAACACGUCAGUUUGAAAGGUAAAG